rnacentral:rRNA from 1 species
GCUGGCAGCUAACUCUCUGCAACUCUCACAUGGUCACCCACUGAAGCUAAGCAGGGCUGCACCUGGUCAGUACCUGGAUGGGAGACUACAUGGGAGAGCUAGGUUGCUGCCGGAA